GUGAGUGCAAGGAGGUAUUCCGUGAUCGUAAAGCUCUGUUGUUGGUGAAGAAGGAUAGAGGUAGUAACUGGCCUUUAUUUGACGGUAAUCAACCAGAAAGUCACGGCUAACUACGUGCCAGCAGCCGCGGUAAUACGUAGGUGGCAAGCGUUGUCCGGAUUUAUUGGGCGUAAAGCGAGCGCAGGCGGAAGAAUAAGUCUGAUGUGAAAGCCCUCGGCUUAACCGAGGAACUGCAUCGGAAACUGUUUUUCUUGAGUGCAGAAGAGGAGAGUGGAACUCCAUGUGUAGCGGUGGAAUUACCA
rnacentral:rRNA from 1 species